ACCAGGCGUGGUGUUGUGUGCCUGUAGUCCCAGCUACUUAGGAGGCUAAGGCUGGAGGAUCGCUUGACUACAGGAGCUCUGGGCUGUAGUGCCCUAUGCCACUGGGGUGUCUGCACUAAGUUCCGCGUAAAUAUGGUGACCUUCUGGAAGCGGGGGACCACCAGGUGGCCUAAGGGGUGAACCUGCCCAGGUCAGAAACGGAGCAGGUCAAAACUCCCGUGCUGAUCAGUAGUGGGAUUGCGCCUGUGAAUAGCUGCUGCAUUCCAGCCUGGGCAACAUAGCGAGACCCUGUCUCU
rnacentral:SRP_RNA from 1 species